rnacentral:lncRNA from 1 species
GUUGCACCAGCAUUGGUCAUCCUGGCCCCCACUUUCUCUCUCUUAGUUUUGUCUCUUAGUGUAUUCUUUUUCUCAGGACUGCAUUGUUCACUGGGCAGGUGGGUACUGGAUCCUGACUACAGGGGUCUCCGCCAAUUGGCACCCAUCAUGGGAGCUUGAACCAUGAGCAAUCACCUCCUCAGUGAGGCUACUCAGAACAAAAAGGAAAAAAGAAAAAGAAAGAAAAGAAGCCACAACACAGUGCACCUCGCAUCAAGGUCAAGGACAAGCACAAAAUCCUGGGGAAAAAAGAGAAUUAGAGUUGCUCAGAUUCAAUCAAAUCAUCUUACAUUUUCUUCUUGUCUGUCUGUGGUGAACUAUGGAAGACCAGUGGGAAGAAUGAGUUCUAAUUGGCCUCCUCGGCGAGCACUGCGAAGACAGAGGGCAAGCAAGCUGCUAACACGCUGCAGGGAGAGGUCACAGCACCCGAGGUGGAGUUGUUCCACCGGAGAAGCGCCAUGGAGCGCGGGAGACAGGUGGAUCCUGUGGAACCCUGAUUGCUUGUGCCGUGUCUGAGGGAAUGAAGCUGAGGUGCGCCAGUUACUCAAGGCUAUAUGUGGAAGGGAGACACGAGGCCCCUGGGCCCUCAGAUUUUAACCUGUUUCUGUGUCUCUUUUUUAUUUUUCAUCCUCGUCACCCCUUGGUCAGGCUCGAGCUCGUAGGCUGGUUCCUACAGCGAACCACUGCAUAACUAGUCACAGAGCGAGACCACCGAGCUACGCGUUUACCUUGCUCUUUGGAGGAACCUUAUGUAGGGACUAGGGGCACGGCAAACCCAUAACAUGCAACGCGCACCUGCUUCAAACACUCUUGAAUUAUUCCAAGGGCAUUUCUCUGUGCACCACGUUUCUUGUUGAAGCAAUGAUGUAAACCAGAUGUAAACCAGGGUGUUAUGGGUCUUGAGUUUAUUUUAUGUCCUGUAGGAAGGAAAGCAACUUCAACUAAAACCUAGUAAGAAGACAGGAAUUUCCUUUCAAAUGGAACAUUACUUGCAGGUGCUUUCUAGGAACUUUUGGUCCAAAAAUCCCGCAGGUAGCCACUAGAUGGCAGUAAGAGGCUUUGUUACAAUCUCCUGUGGCCUUAGCUUGGAAGCAUGCUGAAGAAACUUUCAAAAUGAUUUGUACCCGGGACUUCUGAGGUCCUCAAAGGCUUUGUAAAACUAUCUUUCUUUAUUAAAUUAUUAUUAACAUGUAUUAGUUAUAAAUAUUAAUGGAUUCAGCAAUAUUUCCAUACAUGCUGUAGCAUGCACUGAUCAAAUGCAGUCACACAACUUUCCCAAUCUCUAAUAAUCAUUAUUCUCCUUUCAGGACAACUUUUUUUGAUUUUCACAUAUGAAAAAGAACAAGCGGUACUUGUCUUUCUGUGUCUACUCAUUUCACCUAAUACCACGAC